GGCCUCGUAGCUCAGUUGACUAGAUCAUUAACUGUACUAAAGCCUUCCACUUGCAAGCGUGGGUUCAAAUCCCAUCGAGGUCG
rnacentral:tRNA from 1 species